rnacentral:tRNA from 1 species
UUUUUACUCAGUGGUAGAGUAAAGCCAUGGUAAGCGUAAGCAUCGGUUCAAAUCCGAUAAUGGACUUU